rnacentral:lncRNA from 1 species
AGUUGUUUGACUUCUGGGUUUGCAUGACAUGUAUUAUAAUAUUUUAUUUGUAAAGUAAUGUUUUAUGUUAAAGCUAGCAAAAAGUAAAAUCACAAAAAUACUGAACUCAGAGGAAAAUCAAUUUGGGAAGUCCAUAAUCACAUUGCAAAAUCAAAUAACAAAACACAUCAAAAACGAAUGUACAAGCAAAUGUUUAAUGAAUUGUAAAGUGUAUGCAAUUUUAAUGUUGAUUGUACAAUGCCUAUUCAUCAUAUUUUAGAACACUACUUGUCUUAUUAAGAAGUGACAUUAUGUAACUACACCCUGGAACACGACACAUUAUUAUUUGCUUUCAAACAUUUUGUAUGAUAUAGACUAAACAAAUUUCAAAAAACUAAAAACUAAAAACUGAUCUAGAGUAAGCAUUUUAGAUUUCACUUAAAAUGUGUGGCCAAGAAAAUAAAAGAGGAUGAUCACAUCCGGUCUCCACCAUUAUGAAAUGACCCACAAAGAAUCACCACUAAUAAAGAAAUAAUGUUUUUCAACAGGGACUAAUAAUACUGCUUUGAAUAUGCACCUUUAAAGUCUACUGCCGUCUAGGAAUAUAGCUUUGAUAUUAAAUUGCAACAUUUAUUGAGCUUUGAUGUCUACUGUCAACUUCUUUUAAGCACAUGAGCAUCAAUAUUAACUUUGAGAUAAUAUUUCUGAAUUUCACCAUACACCACUACAUUCUUUUAACUUUAUGUACAUUCAAACAAUUAAAUGGGCAUUGAAAUUUAGAAGCAAGGUUUUAUAAUUUUUAUUAUAUCUCACCAUCUUUCUUACACCAUCGUUUACAUUCUCUUUUAGAAACUGUAUUUUUAAACAAAUGAAAAUUUUCAGCAGGAUAAUUUAUACUGCCUUUUGCAUGCACAUCUUUUCUCAUCUUCCUUCAAACAAAUUGACAUUAACAUUCUCUUUUUUGAUACCUCACUAUUUAGCAAAUACUAUUUUGUCAUGGAAGUGCCAAAUGAAUAAUGCGAUUGCAUGCACAUCUUUCCACAAAUGUCUACAAUUGAAUGGGUUUUUGAGAUUUGAUUUAAUGUUAGUGUAAUGAAUUUUGCCCAAUGUUAGAAAAGGAUUGUGUCUGAUUCUGAAUAAACAAGUACAACCCAUGUACAUGUACAUGACCCUUUUUGACAGAUUUAUGUUGUAUAUUAUGUUUUUGUGUUGUAUAUCUCUAGUUUAUUUUAAAACUAUCAUUUAUUAAAAGAUCAAACAUAAGUAUUUAUGAAUAUCACAUGAUGUUUUUAUAUGUCCAUGUUGUUUAACUGAUUAUCAUAAUGACAUGUAUGAUACACCACGUCUUACUCUUUUAAAUCACAUCAUUGAUGUUGUGGAAGCAUGUUCAAAGCAAAAUACUUUAGAUUGGUAUUUUUGGCUUCUGGCCUAAGCACACAGCGUUAAUUAGUAUAUCACUCUUUUAACACUGCCUAGCACAAAUAAUGAAAUUCUAGUGAUGUUGGACUUUCAACUACUUUUCACUAUUUUAACACUGCCUAGCACACAUUAUGAUAUACUAGUGGCAUU